ACUGGAGGUGGUGACUAGCUGUAAUUAGUAUACAAAGUGAGAAUCGGAGUUGGGUGCAGCUUAUAAAUAGUGCGACUCAGAAGGGCUCUGUGUGCACCCACCACCAUCGCAGACAGAACAAGAACUGGACCAGAGACAUCGCUGGAACCCAGGGUGGCUGUCAUCUAACUUCUACAGCAACAAGUCCAAAUUACCGAAACACUGCUGAGAUGGGGAAAAUCAUCAUUUAUGAGCACAUCAACUUCCAGGGGUACUCCAAAGAACUCACCAGAGACGUUGCCAAUCUGAAAGAUAUAGAUUGGAAUGACUGUGUCUCCUCAGUGAAAGUAAUUGGACAGCCUUGGGUGGCUUAUGAGCACAUAAACUAUACAGGCCAGUUACUGGUAUUUGAGGAGGGAGAGCAUAGCUUUGUUGAUAAAGAGAUGAAUGACAAGAUCAGUUCUCUGAUGUUGAUUACUGAAAAUUUACACAAGCCACAGAUCACUCUCUAUGAACAUGACCAAUAUCAAGGGAAGAGCAGGGUGAUAACAGAAGCAACCAAUUUGGCUAGGGGUAAUGACAAUGACAUGGUGUCUUCUCAUAAAGUCCAGCAAGGUGUCUGGCUCUUGUGUGAACAUAGCGAUGGAAGUGGUUUCCGCUACAUUGCACGAGAGCAUGAACACCUUCCAACUUACAGAGCAAUCAAUUUCAAUGACAAGCUUUCAUUUCUGCGUCCCCUUCUCCCUGGAAGGUGUGGUUGCUGAUGGAAUGCAAAUUCUGAAGUGCUAAGGGUAGAUGUAGCCCUAGCAAGAACCUAGAUCUCUCUGCUUUUUUUUAUUUCCCCUUUUGCCAUAGAAAUACUGAAUGGGAGAGCUCUCUUUUAUGCUGUGCUGCAGAUGUGUAUUUCUCAGUCCCGUCUUGCACUGUUCUCCUUCCCCAUGAUGCCAAUGAAUGUUAGAACUACCAUAUUUAGUCAUAUGAAAAAAAAAAACCUCAAUGAUAAGAGAUGUGCCAGUGGUCUGUAACCUAUUAAACCUGCAACUAACAUUCCAAAGUACUAAACCAUGUAAUGUGAAAGUGUUGCAUGUUGCUUCUGUUGCUAUAUGCAU